GAUGAACGCUGGCGGCGUGCCUCAAACAUGCAAGUCGAGCGGGGCUAUGUAAUAUCGCAAGGUAGAACAUAGCCUAGCGGCGAACGGGUGAGUAACACGUGGGUAACCUGCCUGGAAGACAGGGAUAACGAUUCGAAAGGGUCGCUAAUACCUGAUAAUAUCCUUUCAUCGCAUGGUGAUAGGAAGAAAGGGGAAACCCGCUUUCAGAUGGGCCCGCGUCCCAUCAGCUAGUUGGUAAGGUAAAGGCUUACCAAGGCGACGACGGGUAGCCGGUCUGAGAGGAUGUACGGCCACACUGGGACUGAGAUACGGCCCAGACUCCUACGGGAGGCAGCAGUUGGGAAUCUUAGGCAAUGGACGAAGUCUGACCUAGCGACGCCGCGUGAGGGAAGAAGGCCUUCGGGUUGUAAACCUCUGUCAGUGGGGAAGAGUAAGUGACGGUACCCAAGAGGAAGCCCCUGCUAACUACGUG
rnacentral:rRNA from 1 species